rnacentral:rRNA from 1 species
AUCAACUUUCGAUGGUAGGAUAGAGGCCUACCAUGGUGGUAACGGGUAACGGGGUGUUAGGGCACGACACCGGAGAGGGAGCCUGAGAAACGGCUACCACAUCCAAGGAUGGCAGCAGGCGCGCAAAUUACCCAAUCCCGACACGGGGAGGUAGUGACAAUAAAUAACAAUACGGGGUUCUUUCGGAUUUCGUAAUUGGAAUGAGUACAAUUUAAAUCUCUUAACGAGGAACAAUUGGAGGGCAAGUCUGGUGCCAGCAGCCGCGGUAAUUCCAGCUCCAAUAGCGUAUAUUAAAGUUGUUGCAGUUAAAAAGCUCGUAGUUGAAUUUCGGGGUCAGUAGAUUGGUCAUGCCUCCGGUAUGCACUGGUCUUACUGGCUCCUCCUUCCUGAUGAACCGUAAUGCCAUUGAUUUGGUGUUGCGGGGAGACUGGACUGUUACUUUGAAAAAAUUAGAGUGUUUAAAGCAGGCUAACGCUUGAAUACAUUAGCAUGGAAUAAUGAAAUAGGACGUUCGAUCUUAUUUUGUUGGUUUCUAGGAUUGACGUAAUGAUUAAUAGGGAUAGUUGGGGGCAUUAGUAUUCAAUUGUCAGAGGUGAAAUUCUUGGAUUUAUUGAAGACUAACUACUGCGAAAGCAUUUGCCAAGGAUGUUUUCAUUAAUCAAGAACGAAAGUUAGGGGAUCGAAGACGAUCAGAUACCGUCGUAGUCUUAACCAUAAACUAUGCCGACUAGGGAUCGGACGAUGUUAAUUUUUUAAUGACUCGUUCGGCGCCUUACGGGAAACCAAAGUGUUUGGGUUC